rnacentral:rRNA from 1 species
UACGAAGGGGGCUAGCGUUGCUCGGAAUCACUGGGCGUAAAGGGUGCGUAGGCGGCCUGGCAAGUGGAAGGUGAAAUCCCUCGGCUUAACCGAGGAACUGCCCUCCAAACUGCUUGGCUUGAGUCCGGGAGAGGUGAGUGGAAUUCCCAGUGUAGCGGUGAAAUGCGUAGAUAUUGGGAGGAACACCAGUGGCGAAGGCGGCUCACUGGACCGGAACUGACGCUGAGGCGCGAAAGCGUGGGGAGCAAACGGG